GAUUUGAAGUUUUUUUGAGGCCAAAAAUGCAGCCCCUCCUCCCCAAGUUCACAGAAACCGUUCCCCAAACAUGUUUCUGCAUAGACUGCUAUAGAGUCAAAAGACAACCUGUGGCACGCGGGAGUUUGAAGAUGCAUCUCGGAAGAAGAAAGAAGAAACGGGACUUCGUUGCUGAACCUCCUGGAUGGGGCAACAAGGAGGGCAACUCAGGACAAAAUCUGACUCCAGAAAUGACACCAAAUUCAUAGUGCUGCCAUUGCUGCCUUGAAAGCCCUCGACCGUCCACAGAGUACCAAAAUAAAAGAAGAGUGAAUGCCUUUUAUGCAACAAGGAGAAAAGAACAAAGCAAAAGUCUCAGAGGCUUGUGAUACACAGGGGAUACAGAAUGAGGAGACUCUUCCAGAAUCCACACGAAGACAGACAGUUGGAGGGAUGGGAGGAAACGAAUUGAGAAAAGACAGACAGCAAAAAAGAUUAAAAAAAAAUGUAAAGAAAAAGAGACAGAGAUGUAAAGGGAAGAAAGAUAACGAAGAAAAUAGAAAGAGAAACAGAAAAAGAGAAUGAGAAAUGAUAGAAGGGAGGAAGAAAAAGAGAGAGAGAAGAAAGAAAAAGAAAAGAAAGAAAGAAAAAGAAAGAAAGAGGAAGAAAAAAGGAAAAAUAAAGGAAAUGAAAAAGAGGGAAGCGCAUCAUGGUUCACACCUAUAAUCCCAACACUUUGGGAGGUUGAGGUGGAAGAAUCACUUGAGCCCAGCAGUUUGAGACCAGCCCUGGCAACACAGUGAGACCACGUCUCUACUUUAAAAAAGAAAAAAUUAAAAAGUUAGCCGGGCGUGAUGGCAGGCGCCUGUAGUUUCAGCUCCUUUGGAGCCUGAGGUGGGAGCAUCAUUUGGGCUGGGGAGGUAGAGGCUGUGGUGGGCCUUGGUCAGGCAAAUGCACUGCAGCCUGUUGCCCAGGCUCAUCUCGAACUCCCAAACUUUAGCGAACCGCCUGCCUCAGCCUCCGAACUUGCACCUGCCAUAUCCAACGGCCCUGGGAGUAUCAGUGAUAGAUUUUAGUAGACACGGUUGUUAUGCCAUAUUGCCCAGGUUGGUCUCGAACUUGAACCCGGGAAUAUGAGGCUACAGUGAGCCAAGGUCGUGCCACUGCACUGCAGUCUGGGUGAUAGACCAAGACUCCAUCUCUAAAUAACUAAAUAAUAAAAACAAUAACAAUUAUAACAAACAAUAAUACAAAUAAAUAAUAACAACAACAAUAAUAAUAAACUAGUGGGAGUGAAAAAUAUAACAAGUAAUUUAGAUCACAAUUAAUUGUAGUAAUUUCAAGGAGUUAUUUCUUUAACCUGUCUCUCUUACUUUCUGAAACAGGGUCUUUCUCUGUCACUCAGGCUGGAGGGCAGUGGCGUGAUCAUGGCUCACUGCAGCUUCGACAUCCCAGAAUCAAGCUAUUCCUGCAGUCUCAGCCACUUGGAAGACUGAGAUGGCAAGAUCACCUGACGGAGCCCAGGAAGGUCCAGGCUGCGAUGAGCCGAGAUCGCAUUCUCACACGCCAACUUUUCUCAAAAAAAAAAAGGAAGUAAACGUAAAACAACAGCAACUUCAGUGUGUAGAAAGAGGAGUAAGAAAAGUAAAAGGAAAAAUAAAAACAAAAUGAAGAGCAACUGAAAAUACUGUGGAAACAAUUGGAGAGGAAGAAACAACGUAGUGAAGGAGCGACAUCUAGUGGACAAAAGUGGUAGUGCUGCUGACCAGAGUUAUCUGUUAUUCCUUAGAAAUCCCAGGUUGAUGGUCAGUUCCAACGCUCGCCGCAGACGUCUGGGGGACCCGGCGCCAGCGGACGGAAGCGGUCGGACCCAGUUGGAAUCUUAUCACACAGAGCCGGCCCACCUUUACUGUCAUCUAACUCCACCGACCUGCCCGCCGUUCCCCCACUGUCCGCUGGUUGAACCCGGCAGCGGAGAGAGAAGGAAAGGCACAAAGGCAGUGACUGGCUCAUAUCCCAGCCCCGCGCACCUGGGGCGGGGAGAGGGGCAGUGACCCCAAAGGCCACCACCGGGCAUGCGUGAACAUUACUGGGACAGAAACCUCAGGGGCACACCCUCCGACACCCACGCCUCAGCCAUUCUCAACAGGCUCAAUGAAUCCGAUCCCAGCCCCUGGAGGAGUUCCCAGAGGGGUGUGGGGAGGAGGUGGAAUCGGAGAGGUGGAACUACGAGCAGGGCAUGCGCACAGCUCUCCGGUGAAUCCAUUCCAGUUUGCCUUGCCCUACCCAAAGAAAAGAGAACUCUCCAGGCGCGGUGGUUCAUGACUGUAAUCCCAGCAAUUUAGGAGGCUGAGGAGGGCGGAUCACCUGAGAUGAGGAGUUCAAGAUCAGCUUGGCCAACAUAUUAAAACCCUGUCUCUAUAAAAAUACAAAAAUUAGCCGGGCACGAUGGCGGGUGCCUGUAAUCCCAGCCACUCAGGAGGCUGAGUUGCCCAGGCUGGCGUGCAGUGUCUUGAUCUCUGCGGCAAACUCCACCUCCCGGGUUCAAGUGAUUCUCCUGCCUCUGCCUCUUGAGUAUCUUGGUCUACAGGCGCGCAUGCCACCGCGCCCGGCUUUUGUAUUUUUAGUAGAAACAGGGUUUCACCAUGUUGACCAGGCUGGUUUUGAAAUCCUGACCUCAAGCCGUCUGCCUGCCUUAGCCUCCGAAAGUGCUGGGAUUACAGGCGUGAGCCACUGCACCCGGCCUAUGUGUUUGCUUUUUAAACAUCUCUUUCUAGGGUCAUGAGAAUUCUCGUUAAUUUCACUUAGAGCUCCUCGAGAGAAAAGCCUCUAUUAUUGUCAUUGUAACCGUAAAAAUAGUAGAG
rnacentral:lncRNA from 10 species